rnacentral:rRNA from 1 species
UACGAAGGGUGCUAGCGUUGUUCGGAAUUACUGGGCGUAAAGCGCGUGUGGGCGGGCGAAUAAGUCAGGGGUGAAAUGCCAAGGCUCAACCUUGGAACUGCCUUUGAUACUGUUCGUCUUGAGUCCGGGAGAGGUGAGUGGAACUGCGAGUGUAGAGGUGAAAUUCGUAGAUAUUCGCAAGAACACCAGUGGCGAAGGCGGCUCACUGGCCCGGAACUGACGCUGAGACGCGAAAGCGUGGGGAGCAAACAGG